AGGGCAAGUCUGGUGCCAGCAGCCGCGGUAAUUCCAGCUCCAAUAGCGUAUAUAAAGUUGUUGCAGUUAAAAAGCUCGUAAUUGAAUUUCGGGAUCAAUCUAUCGGUCGUGCAAUAGUACGUACUGAUUUUAUUGAUUCCUCCCUUCUGAUGAACUAUGAUGUCAUUAAUUUGGUGUCAUAGGGAAUCAGGACUGUUACUUUGAAAAAAUUAGAGUGUUUAAAGCAGGCUCACGCUUGAAUACAUUAGCAUGGAAUAACGAAAUAGGACGUUUGAUUCUAUUUUGUUGGUUUCUAGGAUCGACGUAAUGAUUAAUAGGGAUAGUUGGGGGCAUUAGUAUUCAAUUGUCAGAGGUGAAAUUCUUGGAUUUAUUGAAGACUAACUACUGCGAAAGCAUUUGCCAAGGAUGUUUUCAUUAAUCAAGAACGAAAGUUAGGGGAUCGAAGACGAUCAGAUACCGUCGUAGUCUUAACCAUAAACUAUGCCGACUAGGGAUCGGAUGAUGUUAAUUUUUUAAUGACUCAUUCGGCGCCUUACGGGAA
rnacentral:rRNA from 1 species